GAUCACGAGAGGCGGAACUGUUUCAGGGACACCGAGCUGGUGGUGGAACUGGACAUGUUUACAGAAGGGUCUGCUUUAAAAUACAAAGAGAAUGGACUAACCUGCAGAAAUUUGCACUAGCAGCUUUUUCAGGUACUGAAGAGGAAUUUGUUCCAUAUUUUCUUGGAAAUUCAGUGUGUUUGCGGGAAGAGGUGAGCCCAAGAUACUCCUACGUCACCAUCUUGAUCCAGAGCCCCAAGACACUCCAUCUUAAAAGAAGAAUAUAAGGCAGAAAAAUCAAAUUAUAGCUUAUAGAUUAAGAGAGAGCCAGCGAGAAAAGUUCACUGAGGAUUCCUAUGGUUAAUGGCCUUGAGCAUUUGAGGAAGACAUCCAUUAAAAUGUAGCUGAGACCAAAAGCCAACUGGUGAGAAUAAGAAUAAGCAAUGGAUAAUGAAUCAAAGAGAAGGGACUAUUGGCAUUUGAAGGGAUGGGGUGAAAGCAGUACAACA